rnacentral:rRNA from 1 species
GACGAACGCUGGCGGCGUGCUUAACACAUGCAAGUCGAACGGAAAGGCCCUGCUUUUGUGUGGUGCUCGAGUGGCGAACGGGUGAGUAACACGUGAGUAACCUGCCCUUGACUUUGGGAUAACUUCAGGAAACUGGGGCUAAUACCGGAUAGGAGCUCCUGCUGCAUGGUGGGGGUUGGAAAGUUUCGGCGGUUGGGGAUGGACUCGCGGCUUAUCAGCUUGUUGGUGGGGUAGUGGCUUACCAAGGCUUUGACGGGUAGCCGGCCUGAGAGGGUGACCGGCCACAUUGGGACUGAGAUACGGCCCAGACUCCUACGGGAGGCAGCAGUGUGGAAUAUUGCACAAUGGGCGGAAGCCUGAUGCAGCAACGCCGCGUGCGGGAUGACGGCCUUCGGGUUGUAAACCGCUUUCGCCUGUGACGAAGCGUGAGUGACGGUAAUGGGUAAAGAAGCACCGGCUAACUACGUG